rnacentral:rRNA from 1 species
UACGUAGGGUGCGAGCGUUAAUCGGAAUUACUGGGCGUAAAGCGUGCGCAGGCGGUUUGUUAAGACAGAUGUGAAAUCCCCGGGCUUAACCUGGGAACUGCAUUUGUGACUGGCAAGCUAGAGUAUGGCAGAGGGGGGGUAGAAUUCCACGUGUAGCAGUGAAAUGCGUAGAGAUGUGGAGGAACACCGAUGGCGAAGGCAGCCCCCUGGGUUAACACUGACGCUCAGGCACGAAAGCGUGGGGAGCAAACAGG